UAUGAGAGUUUGAUCCUGGCUCAGGACGAACGCUGGCGGCGUGCCUAAUACAUGCAAGUCGAACGCUUCUUUUUCCACCGGAGCUUGCUCCACCGGAAAAAGAGGAGUGGCGAACGGGUGAGUAACACGUGGGUAACCUGCCCAUCAGAAGGGGAUAACACUUGGAAACAGGUGCUAAUACCGUAUAACAAUCGAAACCGCAUGGUUUUGAUUUGAAAGGCGCUUUCGGGUGUCACUGAUGGAUGGACCCGCGGUGCAUUAGCUAGUUGGUGAGGUAACGGCUCACCAAGGCCACGAUGCAUAGCCGACCUGAGAGGGUGAUCGGCCACAUUGGGACUGAGACACGGCCCAAACUCCUACGGGAGGCAGCAGUAGGGAAUCUUCGGCAAUGGACGAAAGUCUGACCGAGCAACGCCGCGUGAGUGAAGAAGGUUUUCGGAUCGUAAAACUCUGUUGUUAGAGAAGAACAAGGAUGAGAGUAACUGUUCAUCCCUUGACGGUAUCUAACCAGAAAGCCACGGCUAACUACGUGCCAGCAGCCGCGGUAAUACGUAGGUGGCAAGCGUUGUCCGGAUUUAUUGGGCGUAAAGCGAGCGCAGGCGGUUUCUUAAGUCUGAUGUGAAAGCCCCCGGCUCAACCGGGGAGGGUCAUUGGAAACUGGGAGACUUGAGUGCAGAAGAGGAGAGUGGAAUUCCAUGUGUAGCGGUGAAAUGCGUAGAUAUAUGGAGGAACACCAGUGGCGAAGGCGGCUCUCUGGUCUGUAACUGACGCUGAGGCUCGAAAGCGUGGGGAGCAAACAGGAUUAGAUACCCUGGUAGUCCACGCCGUAAACGAUGAGUGCUAAGUGUUGGAGGGUUUCCGCCCUUCAGUGCUGCAGCUAACGCAUUAAGCACUCCGCCUGGGGAGUACGACCGCAAGGUUGAAACUCAAAGGAAUUGACGGGGGCCCGCACAAGCGGUGGAGCAUGUGGUUUAAUUCGAAGCAACGCGAAGAACCUUACCAGGUCUUGACAUCCUUUGACCACUCUAGAGAUAGAGCUUCCCCUUCGGGGGCAAAGUGACAGGUGGUGCAUGGUUGUCGUCAGCUCGUGUCGUGAGAUGUUGGGUUAAGUCCCGCAACGAGCGCAACCCUUAUUGUUAGUUGCCAUCAUUCAGUUGGGCACUCUAGCAAGACUGCCGGUGACAAACCGGAGGAAGGUGGGGAUGACGUCAAAUCAUCAUGCCCCUUAUGACCUGGGCUACACACGUGCUACAAUGGGAAGUACAACGAGUCGCGAAGUCGCGAGGCUAAGCUAAUCUCUUAAAGCUUCUCUCAGUUCGGAUUGCAGGCUGCAACUCGCCUGCAUGAAGCCGGAAUCGCUAGUAAUCGCGGAUCAGCACGCCGCGGUGAAUACGUUCCCGGGCCUUGUACACACCGCCCGUCACACCACGAGAGUUUGUAAACGAUCGGAAAUGUCUGUCCAAGCAGUAAGUCUGAAGAGGAGUCAAAUGCUUCUUUUCUUAGUGAAGUCGUAACAAGGUAGCCGUAUCGGAAGGUGCGGCUGGAUCACCUCCUU
rnacentral:rRNA from 1 species